CUAUCCGAGAGGCGCUGCAACGGACAGCGAAGUCCGCCACGCUCGGGUGCGGUGUUGUUGACGUAAGGGCGCCUCCUGAUG
rnacentral:ncRNA from 2 species